UGGGGAGGACGACUAAAAGGAUUCCCCUAGUAACUGCGAGUGAAGCGGGAAAAGCUCAAAUUUAAAAUCUGGCAGUCUUUGAUUGUCCGAGUUGUAAUCUAGAGAAGUGUUAUCCGCGCUGGACCGUGUACAAGUCUCCUGGAAUGGAGCGUCAUAGAGGGUGAGAAUCCCGUCUUUGACACGGACUGCCAGGGCUUUGUGAUGCGCUCUCGAAGAGUCGAGUUGUUUGGGAAUGCAGCUCAAAAUGGGUGGUAAAUUCCAUCUAAAGCUAAAUAUUGGCGAGAGACCGAUAGCGAACAAGUACCGUGAGGGAAAGAUGAAAAGAACUUUGGAAAGAGAGUUAAACAGUACGUGAAAUUGCUGAAAGGGAAACGCUUGAAGUCAGUCGCAUUGUUUGAGAAUCAACCUUGCUUUUGCGUGGUGUACUUUUCAGAUAAUGGGUCAGCAUCAAUUUUGACCGUUGGAUAAAGUCUGAAGGAAUGUGGCAUCUUCGGAUGUGUUAUAGCCUUUAGUCGUAUACAACGGUUGGGAUUGAGGAACUCAGCACGCCGCAAGGCCGGGUACUUGUACCACGUUCGUGCUUAGGAUGCUGGCAUAAUGGCUUUAAUCGACCCGUCUUGAAACACGGACCAAGGAGUCUAACAUGCCUGCGAGUAUUUGGGUGGAAAACCCGAGUGCGUAAUGAAAGUGAAAGUUGAGAUCCCUGUCAUGGGGAGCAUCGACGCCCGGACCAGACCUUUUGUGACGGAUCUGCGGUAGAGCAUGUAUGUUGGGACCCGAAAGAUGGUGAACUAUGCCUGAAUAGGGUGAAGCCAGAGGAAACUCUGGUGGAGGCUCGUAGCGAUUCUGACGUGCAAAUCGAUCGUCAAAUUUGGGUAUAGGGGCGAAAGACUAAUCGAACCAUCUGGUUGGC
rnacentral:rRNA from 1 species